CGCGAUUAAAUCUGGACCGUCCAUGCGCGAUUCAAUCUGGACCGUCCGUGCACGAUUUCAAUCUGAGCCGUCCGUGCAUGCGGGAACGGAACUCAGCCGUUCGAUCGCCCGCAUGCAGAUUGCCCACGUGGCUCCCCCCCGCAUGGCCUCCCACGUCAACGCCUCUAUCACUUGGCGCGUCUUGGUUGGUUGGAGCUGCUGACCAGGCAUCUG
rnacentral:lncRNA from 1 species